rnacentral:misc_RNA from 1 species
UCCGAGUUGUCCCCGGCAGUCCUUUUAGAGUCCCCGGCAUUACCCGCUGGCAACUAAAAGCAGGGGUUGCGCUCGUUGCGGCACUUAAGCCAACACCUCACGGCACGAGCUGACGACAGCCAUGCAGCACCUGUGCUAGCCCCUUACGGACACGGGCUUUCACCCGCUUUAACUAGCAUGUCAAGCCUAGGUAAGGUGGGGAUGACGUGUCCUUGAUAGG